rnacentral:rRNA from 1 species
AUGAAUGAACUACUGCUGAAAGAAUUCACACGACAGGAAGUGUUUGAGGCAUUGCAAAGUAUAGGAGACUUGAAAGCUCCCGGGCCGGAUGGGAUGCCCUCGGUCUUCUACAAGAAAUGUUGGGAUGUUGUGGGCGAUAAUAUUGUUGCUGAGGUGUUGAAUGUCUUGAAUGGUGGCCCAAUGCCGGAGGGAUGGAACGAGACGUGUGUGGUGCUUAUCCCCAAAGUCAAGAGUCCAGAGAGCAUGAAGGAUCUUCGUCCAAUCAGCCUCUGUAAUGUCGUCUACAAGACAGUUUCCAAGGUGCUGGCCAACCGAUUGAAACAAAUCCUCCCAGAGAUUAUAUACCCUAAUCAGAGUGCGUUUGUACCGGGUCGGUUAAUAACGGAUAAUAUCCUUCUAGCCUACGAGUGUACGCACUAUAUGCAGAACAAAAGAGAAGGUAAAGAGGGUUAUGCAGCGGUGAAGCUUGAUAUGAGCAAGGCAUAUGACCGAGUGGAGUGGCACUUCUUGGAGAAGAUGAUGAGGAAAAUGGGAUUCAGUGAGGUUUGGAUCGACCGGGUCAUGCUUUGUGUUACCACAGUAUCAUACAGAGUGAAUGUUAAUGGCGAAUACACGGAUGUGAUACUGCCGCAAAGAGGCCUGAGGCAAGGUGAUCCCCUCUCCCCGUACUUGUUUCUCAUUUGUGCGGAAGGGUUUUCAUCACUGUUAAAUAAAGCGGAGGCGGAUGGCAGCUUGAAGGGGAUUCGUAUUUGCAACGCGGCCCCGAGCUUUAACCACUUACUGUUUGCAGAUGACUCACUAGUGCUCAUUAAAGCUUCACGAGAGAGUGCUACGUCACUGCAGAAUAUGUUAACACUAUAUGAGGUAUGCUCGGGCCAAGUUGUGAAUUAUGACAAGUCCUCUGUCAUGUUCAGCAAGAACACUAGCCAAGUGCAAAGGCAUGAGGUUCUGGAGGCUUUGCAUAUUAGAGCUGAGGCAAAAACGGAGAGGUAUCUAGGCCUCCUAGUGUAUGUAGGCCAAGCAAGGAAA